rnacentral:rRNA from 1 species
AUUGAACGCUGGCGGCAGGCCUAACACAUGCCAGUCGAACGGAAACACGAAGCAGUUUGCUGCCUCGCUGACGAGUGGCGGACGUGAGUGUCAUGUCUGGGAAGUUGCUAGAUGGCGGGGGUUAACUACUGGAAACGGUAGCUAUUACCGCAUAAUGUUGCAAGACCAAAGAGGGGGACUUUCGGGCGUCUUGCCAUCGGCUGUGCCCAGGUGGCAUUAGCUUGUUGGUAGGGUAACGGCUCACCAAGGCGACGAUCCGUAGCUGGUCUGAGAGGGUGACCGGCCACACUGGAACUGAGACACGGUCCAGACUCCUACGGGAGGCAGCAGUAGGGAAUAUUGCGCAAUGGGCGCAAGCCUGAUGCAGCCAUGCCGCGUGUAUGAUGAAGGCCUUCGGAUUGUAAAGUACUGUCAUCGGGGAGGAAGAAAGUAGUAUGAAUACCUGUACUCAUUGACGGUACCCGCAGAGGAAGCACCGGCUAACUCCGUG